CUACGGAGGGUGCAAGCGUUACUCGGAAUCACUGGGCGUAAAGCGCGCGCAGGCGGCUAUUUAAGUUGGAUGUGAAAGCCUACGGCUCAACCGUAGAACUGCAUCCAAAACUAUUUAGCUAGAGUGUGGGAGAGGAAGAUGGAAUUAGUUGUGUAGGGGUAAAAUCCGUAGAGAUAACUAGGAAUACCAAAAGCGAAGGCAAUCUUCUGGAACACUUCUGACGCUGAGGCGCGAAAGCGUGGGGAGCAAACGGGAUUAGAAACCCCAGUAGUCC
rnacentral:rRNA from 1 species